rnacentral:misc_RNA from 1 species
GAACGCACAUUGCGCCCAUUAGUAUUCUAGUGGGCAUGCCUGUUCGAGCGUCAUUUCAACCCUCAAGCCCUAGCUGCUUGGUGUUGGGAGUUUACCUGCGGGUAAUUCCUGAAAUAAAUCGGCGGAGUCGCGGUGACCCCAAGCGUAGUAAUUUUUCCUCGCUUUAGGUGUGUCGGUGCUGACGUUCGGCCGCUAAACCCCUUAUUUUCUAGUGGUUGACCUCGGAUCAGGUAGGAAUACCCGCUGAACUUAAG